GACGAAGGGGGCUAGCGUUGUUCGGAAUUACUGGGCGUAAAGGGCGUGUAGGCGGUUAUUCUAGUCGGGGGUGAAAGCCUUGAGCUCAACUCAAGAAAUGCACUCGGUACUGGGUGACUAGAGGACCGGAGAGGAUAGUGGAAUUCCCAGUGUAGUGGUGAAAUACGUAGAGAUUGGGAAGAACACCAGUGGCGAAGGCGGCUAUCUGGACGGUUUCUGACGCUAAGACGCGAAAGCGUGGGGAGCAAACAGG
rnacentral:rRNA from 1 species